CAACACAGCUAUAGCAGGACCUCUUGACUCACUGAAGGCAGCUCCAGAUACUGGCUUCUCCUCUCUUCCUGUACAUUAUCUUCAUUCUUCUAUCUAUAGACUACCUUUAUCUUCUAAGUGAAAACAUGACUGUCAGCAGCUUUCAAGCUUUAUCAUUUACAGAGCUUGCCUGAAGACAGACUGAUUCCAUUCUCUAGGUCUCCAAGCUCAAAAAGCUCAGAGAAAGACUUCGAUUGGUCUGAAUUAGGCCAGCUGUCCACCCCUGAACUAUCCAAAGCAGCCCUGCAGCUGGGCCGUUCCCAGAGAGAGGGAUGGAUAAAGGCACUCACUCUACACAAGGAACAGUUUCCUUCCUUAAUAAAGAAGUAGUUUCACUUAAAAAAAAAAAAUCUCUAAACAGUGACUAAAACGCUAAAAUGAAGUGAGCAACCAGGGGUAAAGAAGUACUAAUAAUUUCAAAGGCAGACACAAAUAUGAUUUGGAGAAGAAACAGCAGUGACAGAUAAAUUAUCAAUAAACGUAACACAUUGAUAGAGAGCUUUAAUGAAGAGCCAAUAAGCACAUGAACUGGAUACUUUGUGUAUGAAACCCUCAAUGAAUACUGUGAAAGUUGUCAGGAUAAAAAUAGAGUCACUUGUGACAAAAUGGAGCUGGGAAAGGCCAUGAAGGAAGGGUUCUUAAUGCUCAAUCGCCUGAAAACAAGAACCGUUACAAAAGACUAUACCAAAACCACAACCUUGUAUAAAGGCCACUGCAACCUUAUGCAAAAAAAAUACUUCUGCAAGGACAUCUGCCCAGCAGCUGCCUGUCUAACCUUGGACUGAUGCCACCCUUAUUAUUGAUCCCUGUAAGCAAGGAUAAUUGUUUCAAAACAACUUAUGUAACCCUCCCCAUUUUAGCUUUAAAAAUCGCUGUCUUCCCUUGCCUCUUUGAAUGUGCCCAUAGUUUACUCGGCAUGUGUGUUCCACACUACAGUGCUUACUCUUGAAUACACUUAUUAUCUUUGGGGAAUCUCUCUCUCUUAUUUAGCUUGACAGUAUAUUAACUGAAAAUUUAAACUUGUUACUGAAUAAAGUCAUUAAAAUGA
rnacentral:antisense_RNA from 1 species